rnacentral:lncRNA from 1 species
CUAGGGCUGGGCUGGGCUGGGCUGGCGGGGCCGGGCUAGCUCCCCUGCGCCCGGUUCCGCCGCGGCGCUGCGGGCGAAGGUGGCUGCUGGAGGCGGCGGCGGCAGCGGCUGGAGCUCGCGGACUGCCUACCUCGCGCCGGCGCUCAGACCUAAUCUCCACGCACACUGAGCGAGGCGGACACACUAGCGCUGCGGGCUGAGGCGGGCGGGGGCGAGGGGCAGGGGCUCUGCCCCUCCGGAGGCUCUCCAUUGGCCAGGCCGAGUUGCCCAAACUUCCCCCCUUCGCCUCUCAUUGGGAAUUCCUGGCAUCCGUCAGCCGGGCCGCGCGCAUAUAGGUGGACUGGGCGGGCCCCUCCCGGCGCGCACGCCCCCGCCUACUCCCCGGGUUCCCACUCCCCCGCGCGGCUCAUGUGACACCAGCUUAAGCUGAACGGGACCGAAGCCGGGGGACGCCUCCCCGAGCUCGGGGACCGAGCGGCCGCCGCUCGGGAGCCCCAGGAGGAACCGCCGGGGCAUUGGACACGCUCCCAGCCCGCAGGAAGGCCGGGGUCCGGAGACGUCGGCACCCGGGGAAGGGGGGCGGGGAGUGCCGGGAUGGAAAGGAAUUUCCUGGGAAUUUCCUGAUUCCGCCCCGGCCCCGCCCCGCCCGGCGCGACCCUGCGGACCCCUGCCCUGCCGGAGCCAGGUUUCUGGCCAGCCAUCGGCGCUCCGUAGCCGCACAGCUUUCCCGCCUCGCCGCGGGUUCCUUUGCCGCCCUCCCUUGGGUUCAGGGUCUAAGUUGCCCAGCUUCCCGGGUUGCGCUGCGGGUUCCCCGCGGGCUGGCAGGGCCGAGCUAUCCUUAUACACACCUGGGCAGCACCCUGAUAGCUCUGAGCGAUCUACCCACUCCACGCCCCCUCAACACACACCCCUGACCAGACGGAGAAACUGAAUUUCCCAAAGAUGAGCUUAAAAGGGGGACUUAUCGGGUUCUCAGAGCUCCACAAGCCAACCCUGUAACCUUAUGCCUGACAAACAAAGCCUUAUUGUUAUUCGAGGAAGGAGGGCAAGACCGAAGAAACACCUUUAAGCUCGUGGAGCCUGCCUGCUCUACGCCUGUCCUAGUAAGAGGCGGAUCUCCCCAGUGGGCUCACACCCUGGUGGACUCCUCUGAGACCUCCGCGACUCAAGAACAGGAGCCAGAGGCCUCCAGUAGCGUCUGCACAGAGUAGUGCUUAAUCCAUGUAUGCCCCUGAAGGAUGGAUGGGUUUACUGUGAAAACAACUGUCAGUUCAGAGGUGACUGAAGGAGUUAGAAAGGGCCAUGAAUUAGGUUACCUGAAAGGCCAACAGAUGGGAAAGUUGAAAAAAGUGCCUGUGACUCCCAGGAGAGCCAGCCGCUGCUGUCGUAAGCAGAUAUGGGUGAUGGGUCAUUCCCUGCUCCAUUAGUCAAUCUCGCACAUUUAUACAAGAGUCACCGGUCAGCACUGUGCCCUCUGCAAGUCCCUGGCUGAGGAAGCACUGCUUCUGAGCCACGGAGACAGCAGAUUUAUAGACUAUUUUAUAUCCACUUCUAAACUAUGGUUCUAAACCUGAUAUCGAGGGUAAUGAUGGUGCUGCAGCCGUUCAUUCUCUCAAUAAAUAUUUGUGGCGCCGCAUCCCUGUGUCAGGGGAUGUGCUAGAUGUUAUGUAUCUAGAGGUGAAAAAAGACAGUCCUUGCCCCUGGCAGUCCAGCAGAGAAGCACAGAAACAAAAACAUACUUCAAGGAGACAGAUACUUCCCCAGCCAGGGCACUGUGGGGGGCGGGGGGCGCGGUGUAGAGAGGAUGAACUUUGAGCCCAGAAUAGGAAAGGAAGCUCCAGGUAUCACUUUUUGGAGGAAGGGGAAUUCAAGUGAGCCUUAAAGAACAAGAGUCAGCCAGACAAAGAGGAGAGUGGGAGAUUAUUCCAGGCAGAAGGAACAGUGUGAGCUAAUACACGGGGGCAGGAAGCUGCAUGGUAUAAAAGGGAUGCUAGCAUUUCAACAUGGCUAGACUAGAAAUUCAAGGCCAGGAGGGGCAAGAGACAGGGCUGGAGAGGUGGACAGGCGCCAGACAGUGAAAGCCUUCUCUACCACAUGAUGUGUGGGUCUGAGGGGAAGAAGGCUGGCUGGAAGCUGUGACAACCAGUUGCAAAGGAGUUGGAAUAAUCCAGGUAGUGCCUGGACGGGAAGUGCUGUGAGAAUGUCCAGAGUCAGCUGUCCAGUAAGCAGGUGAUGGCACAGCCCUGACUUGAGGGGAAACAGAAUCUGAGAGUCAUCUGACUACGGAUAGCAUGGACACCAUGAGGGACUCCAGGGAGAAUGCCUCAGUGGAGCUAAGAGUGCCCAGCUGAACCCAGAGGAGCAGAACUUAGAAAGGAACUGUGAAGAACAAGGACCCCUGGGGGAGACAGACAGGAAAUGGUCCCCAGAAGCGCAGGGAGCCUGGACAACAUGGCGUCAUGAAAAUCCAGAAUGAAGCAUCAAAGUGAGGGGCAUCAGCAGCAUCAGAUAUGGCAGAAAGGCCUGGAAAGUAAGGAGUAAGCCCUGAAAAAUGUCUCUGAAAUCAGGCAGUAUGCAUACUUUGGUUUCUGGAUUUUUCACUAAGUUGACUGUCUGUGAGGUUUAUGUUGUAGUUUGUAUCAGCAGUUGAUUUUUGUUUGUUUGUUUGUUUUCUUCCUGUGUAGUAUUCCAUUGUAUAAGUAUAUGCUAAGUAAUUCACCUGCGCUCCUGUCAUUUGU